rnacentral:rRNA from 1 species
GACGUAGGGGGCAAGCGUUAUCCGGAUUUACUGGGUGUAAAGGGAGCGUAGACGGCCAGGUAAGUCAGGUGUGAAAGCCCGGGGCUCAACCCCGGGACUGCACUUGAAACUAUCUGGCUAGAGUGUCGGAGAGGUAAGUGGAAUUCCUAGUGUAGCGGUGAAAUGCGUAGAUAUUAGGAGGAACACCAGUGGCGAAGGCGACUUACUGGACGAUAACUGACGUUGAGGCUCGAAAGCGUGGGGAGCAAACAGG